GACGAACGCUGGCGGCGUGCUUAACACAUGCAAGUCGAACGGAAAGGCCCUGCUUUUGUGGGGUGCUCGAGUGGCGAACGGGUGAGUAACACGUGAGUAACCUGCCCUUGACUUUGGGAUAACUUCAGGAAACUGGGGCUAAUACCGGAUAGGAUCUCCUGCUGCAUGGUGGGGGUUGGAAAGUUUCGGCGGUUGGGGCUGGACUCGCGGCUUACCAGCUUGUUGGUUGGGUAGGGGCUUACCAAGGCUUUGACGGGUACGCGGCUUGGGAGGGUGGACGGGCACAUUGGGACUGAGAUACGGCGCAGACGGCUACGGGAGGCAGCAGUGGGGAAUCUUGCACAAUGGGCCGAAGCCUGAUGCAGAAACGCCGCGUGCGGGAUGACGGCCUUCGGGUUGUAAACCGCUUUCGCCUGUGACGAAGCGUGAGUGACGGUAAUGGGUAAAGAAGCACCGGCUAACUACGUG
rnacentral:rRNA from 1 species